CUCCAGUUUACAAGUACGAAUCUCCUCCGCCACCGGUGUACAAGUACAGCUCACCACCACCACCGGUUUACAAAUACAAGUCGCCUCCUCCACCUGUUUACCACGCCCCGGCUCCAGUCUACAAGUACAAAUCCCCGCCGCCACCGGUGUAUCACUACACCUCCCCGCCACCACCUGUUUACAAGUAUAAGUCUCCACCGCCGCCUGUUUACCACGCUCCCGCCCCAGUCUACAAGUAUAAGUCACCGCCGCCACCUGUUUACCACUACAGCUCCCCACCACCCCCGGUUUACAAGUACAAAUCUCCUCCUCCCCCUGUCUACCACGCUCCAGCACCGGUUUACAAGUAUAAGUCUCCACCGCCACCGGUCUAUCACUACAGCUCCCCGCCACCACCGGUGUACAAGUACAAGUCGCCACCACCGCCUGUGUACCACGCUCCAGCACCGGUUUACAAGUAUAAGUCGCCUCCUCCACCUGUUUACCACUACAGCUCGCCACCACCGCCGGUCUACGAGUACAAAUCCCCGCCACCUCCUGUGUACCACGCCCCGGCUCCAGUUUACAAGUAUAAGUCAC
rnacentral:lncRNA from 1 species